rfam:Asian citrus Psyllid, Diaphorina citri - Florida Strain, whole genome shotgun sequence.
GCCUCGGUAGCGUAGUGGUCAAGACGCUCGCCUGGUAAACAGGAGGGCGUGGGUUCGAUCCCACCCGAGGCA